rnacentral:rRNA from 1 species
CAGGUUACUCACACUGGGGGAUAACAGUUAGAAAUGACUGCUAAUACCGCAUAAGCGCACAGCUUCGCAUGAAGCAGUGUGAAAAAACUCCGGUGGUGUGAGAUGGACCCGCGUCUGAUUAGCUGGUUGUGGGGUAACGGCCUACCAAGGCAACGAUCAGUAGCCGGCCUGAGAGGGUGACCGGCCACAUUGGGACUGAGACACGGCCCAAACUCCUACGGGAGGCAGCAGUGGGGAAUAUUGCACAAUGGGGGAAACCCUGAUGCAGCGACGCCGCGUGAGUGAAGAAGUAUUUCGGUAUGUAAAGCUCUAUCAGCAGGGAAGAAAAUGACGGUACCUGACUAAGAAGCCCCGGCUAACUACGUG